UUGGGAAUUGCACGGUGGGGAGGGCGCAUGAGUGCGAGCGCGCGGGGGUGUGGGGCUGAGGGGAGGGUCACCCUCGUGGCCGCGCGGCGUGGGAGUGUGGGUUUCGGCGUUUGGUGGAGGCGGUGAGCUUCAAUCGAAGGCGGUGUUUUGCUGCUCAAAUUGAAAUGACAUGAGUCAGAAAUAAUUACAAAAUGAUCAGGAACAGAAAUUCCUGGAAGAGCUCAGCAGGUCUGGCAGCAUCUAUGGAGAAAAGGCAGAGUUAACAUUUCGGGUCCAGCCACCCUCCUUCAGAGCACGGAUUUGGUUAAUUGGUUUUCAGAACAUGACAUCCCGCCCUGUACAAAAACAGACCGAUCAUCUGCUGUGUGCUCCUAGCUUGCCCAGUUUCUUACUGUACUGCAGUGUCCACACUUCAAUAAUACAUCAUUGGCUGCAAAGUGCGUUGGAUAUCUUGAUGUCAGAAUAAAAUCUAUACAAAUGCACACUUUUACGUGUGUAAAAGCAAAA